UACGAAGGGGGCGAGCGUUGUUCGGAAUUACUGGGCGUAAAGGGCGCGUAGGCGGCGAUCCGAGUCAGAUGUGAAAGUCCUGGGCUUAACCUGGGGACUGCAUUUGAUACUGGAUUGCUUGAAUGCAGGAGAGGAUAGCGGAAUUCCCAGUGUAGAGGUGAAAUUCGUAGAUAUUCGGAAGAACACCAGUGGCGAAGGCGGCUCACUGGCCCGGUACUGACGCUGAGGUGCGAAAGCGUGGGGAGCGAACAGG
rnacentral:rRNA from 1 species